GGUCCUUUCCAGGCCAGGCCCCUGGUCCCCAGGAGUGCGGGGAUGCCUGAGGUCUACUGCUGCCUUAUCCAGAGCUGCCAUCCCCGGCGAUGACUCAGAGUUCCUGUGGCCCCAGCAUCAUCCCUCCAUCCCUGGCUGUGAGGCAGGAGCAGAGUUGCAGACCUGAGAGGCCUUGAAUUUGUUUGAUAUAGGACUUUGCCACCAGACAAAGUGCUUUGCCUGUGAGGUCUGGCUUGGCCUGGCCUCUGAGAAAGAACAAACACAGACCUCACUGGAAGGAACCUGGAGAACGGGAGAGGAGAGGCUGCUGCUGUCUGCCCUCCCAGCAGCAGAUAUAAAGACAAUGGGCUUCUAAGUCCCCUAGAGUCCCAGCUGUGUAAUUUAAGGAAGGAGCAUGGAGAAGACAAGAACAAGGCUCUCAGAAGGAAAUGGUGUGGCUGGAGCCAUGAGAACUGGUUGUGGAGGGGGUGAGGAAGGCAAAUAUAAUUUCUGACCUACGUAAUGAUGUAUGCACAAGAAGCCUCUCUUGAAUGUAUUAAUUCAGUAAACAGUUAUGGAGUCCUUACAAUGUGCUAGUGGGACUUUGAAGAUGAAUCCAAAUUUGGAUCCUGGCCUGGAAAGGCUCAAAGCCCAAUAUGGGAGCCUGGAUACAAAUGUGAAACUUAUCUUCUUUUAUUAACCAAUCAAUCACCUCCUGCCAAAACAACAUCAGCAAAAACAACAGAAAAAAACAAAAACAAAAACAAAAACAAAUCUGUGUACACAAGACCUUUGUUUCCACAGCAGACUUGGCUAAAGGUUUGGGCAUGCAUAUGCAUACCCCCAAAAUUAAAAAUGGAAAAUUGAA
rnacentral:lncRNA from 10 species